rnacentral:rRNA from 1 species
GUAUUUGUUAUGUUCUUGAAACCCAAAGGAUUUGGCGGUAUUUUAGUCCUUUCAGAGGAACCUGCCCCUUAAUUCGACAUCCCACGAUUUCAUUUACUUUUGCUUGUUAUUCAGUUUGUAUAUCUCCGUCAUAAGAGAGUCUUUUUAGAGUAAAUUUUCCUUUUCUUUAAAUAAGAAUAUGUCAGGUCAAGGUGCAAUUUAUGUAAAAGUGGAGGUGGGUUACAAUAUAUUUAUGUAUAUGGAUUGAUAUUUUUGUAGUAUCAUGAAGGUGGAUUUGAUAGUAAGGCUGGUUGGUUUUAUCGGCUUGAUUCUGGCUCUAAAAUAUGCACACAUCGCCCG